rnacentral:rRNA from 1 species
CAAUAGCGUAUAUUAAAGUUGUUGCAGUUAAAAAGCUCGUAGUUGGAUUUGUGGUGUACUUCGGCGGCCCGUCACUAUGUGAUGGAGCUUGCUGAAGUCGCCAUCCUUGGGUGGAUCCUGUGUGGCAUUAAGUUGUCGUGCAGGGGAUGCCCAUCGUUUACUGUGAAAAAAUUAGAGUGUUCAAAGCAGGCUUAUGCCGUUGAAUAUAUUAGCAUGGAAUAAUAAGAUAGGACCUUGGUACUAUUUUGUUGGUUUGCGCACCAAGGUAAUGAUUAAUAGGGACAGUUGGGGGUAUUCGUAUUUCAUUGUCAGAGGUGAAAUUCUUGGAUUUUUGAAAGACGAACUACUGCGAAAGCAUUUACCGAGGAUGUUUUCAUUAA